rnacentral:rRNA from 1 species
GCCUGAUUAGUGGCGAACGGGUGAGUAACACGUGAGUAACCUGCCCUCCACUUCGGGAUAACCUCGGGAAAUCGUGGCUAAUACCGGAUAUGAGCACUCAUCGCAUGGUGGGUGUUGGAAAGAUUUAUCGGUGGGGGAUGGACUCGCGGCCUAUCAGUUUGUUGGUGAGGUGAUGGCUCACCAAGACGAUGACGGGUAGCCGGCCUGAGAGGGCGACCGGCCACACUGGGACUGAGACACGGCCCAGACUCCUACGGGAGGCAGCAGUGGGGAAUAUUGCACAAUGGGCGAAAGCCUGAUGCAGCGACGCCGCGUGGGGGAUGACGGCCUUCGGGUUGUAAACCCCUUUCAGUAGGGAAGAAGCGAGAGUGACGGUACCUGCAGAAGAAGCGCCGGCUAACUACGUGCCAGCAGCCGCGGUAAUACGUAGGGCGCAAGCGUUGUCCGGAAUUAUUGGGCGUAAAGAGCUUGUAGGUGGCUUGUCGCGUCUGCCGUGAAAACCCGAGGCUCAACCUCGGGCGUGCGGUGGGUACGGGCAGGCUAGAGUGUGGUAGGGGAGACUGGAACUCCUGGUGUAGCGGUGAAAUGCGCAGAUAUCAGGAAGAACACCGAUGGCGAAGGCAGGUCUCUGGGCCAUUACUGACACUGAGAAGCGAAAGCAUGGGUAGCGAACAGGAUUAGAUACCCUGGUAGUCCAUGCCGUAAACGUUGGGCACUAGGUGUGGGGGACAUUCCACGUUUUCCGCGCCGUAGCUAACGCAUUAAGUGCCCCGCCUGGG